AUUGAACGCUGGCGGCAGGCUUAACACAUGCAAGUCGAGCGAGCGGCGGACGGGUGAGUUAUGUCUGGGACACUGCCUGAUGGAGGGGGAUAACUACUGGAAACGGUUGCUAAUACCGCAUACAUUCAGAUGGGCCCAGGUGGGAUUAGCUAGUGGGUGGGGUAAUGGCUUACCUAGGCGACGAUCCCUAGCUGGUCUGAGAGGAUGACCAGCCACACUGGAACUGAGACACGGUCCAGACUCCUACGGGAGGCAGCAGUGGGGAAUAUUGGACAAUGGGCGAAAGCCUGAUGCAGCCAUGCCGCGUGUGUGAAGAAGGCCUUCGGGUUGUAAAGCACUUUAAGCGGGGAGGCGUUACUAGCAGAAGAAGCACCGGCUAACUCCGUGCCAGCAGCCGCGGUAAUUC
rnacentral:rRNA from 1 species